CGCGUAGGCGGUUUGGCAAGUCAGAUGUGAAAUCCCCGGGCUUAACUCGGGAAUUGCAUCUGAAACUGCUUUUCUUGAGUCCUGGAGGGGGUAGUGGAAUUCCCAGUGUAGCGGUGAAAUGCGUAGAUAUUGGGAGGAACACCUGUGGCGAAGGCGGCUACCUGGACAGUGACUGACGCUGAGGCGCGAAAGCUAGGGGAGCGAACG
rnacentral:rRNA from 1 species